rnacentral:lncRNA from 1 species
CUUAUCUGUCUGGACAUCAUUCUACCCUGCAUUCUCCUUCCCUACCACACUGAACCACUGGUAGCGCCAGAAAACCUGAAUAUUUCAUGUUAGCAAGGAUGGGUUCUUAUCACAGCAGGCCUGUCAGAGAGAUGGGGAAAUAUGCCAGGUGAUAGGCACACAAGUAUGGGCAACGGGAAUGUCGAGAGAUGAGACUAAAAGGGCCACGUAGUGAAGGGCCUUGAAUUUCACACAAGAGAGUUCGGAUUGAAUCCUUAAGAAUUAAUGGAAGCAUUAUGAAGGGAGACUAAAAAAGCAUUGUGCGGAUUUAGAUUUUAGCUCUCUACAGGCGAGUAGUAGAAUGGGAGGGGUGGGGUGGGGAGGAAUGAAUGGCAAAGGCUUAAUUUAAGACAAUGAAGUGAAAGGGGUGGAAAUGUGAAUUAUCAAAGGAUAGAAUAAAGAGGAUUUCCCAGCACUUUGGGAGGCUGGGGAGGGCGGAUCAUGAGCUCAAAGUGCUGGGAUUACAGGCGUAAGCCACCGCGCCUAGCCAUUUUGCAGCGAUUUCUAAUGAAAAAUCAUGUGCCUGUUAGAGCAAGAAUUGUUUAAAUAUUUGUCUAUUAUGCUAACGAAGAAAUGUAAAGAAUGUGGAAAUUAGCCCUGUGGUUCCUCCUUGAAGAGCUGGUGUCUGUUUGUGUUUUAUGUUCUAUUAUGCAAUUGUAGCCGCUCUGACCACUGGCUCCAUUUUAACAGAGUGAUCUUUUAUACAGGCUUUUCACACUGAAGAUCAAGAAGCUACAAAGCUGGUAACAAACUGAUAUUUCUUUAAUUGAUCAUGUUAAGCAUUGUCAGAUUAUCCACCACAAGCAAUAUUUUUAUUUCAUUUGUGACAUAAAUUGUGGCAAAUGUUACGUCUCUAUAAAAAUUGAUGUCGAAUUUGAACAGGUAAUAGAUGCACAUGAUAUAAAGUGAAAGACAUAUAAAAAAGAGUAUACAAUAGAAAGUUUCCACCUCCCAUCUUUGUCACCCAGUCAUCUAAUUCCCCUUCCUAAAAACGCCAGCUUCACAUGUAUCAUUGCUGAUAUUAUCUGAGCAUAUACUAACACGUUUUAAGAUAGUAUCGGCCAGGCAUGGUGGCUCAUGCCUGUAAUCCCAGCACUUUGGGAGGCCGAGGCGGGCAGAUCACGAGGUCAGGAGAUAGAGACCAUCCUGGCCAACAUGAUGAAAACCCUGUCUCUACUAAAACACAAAAAAAUUAGCUUGGCGUGGUGGCGUGCACCUGCAGUCCCAACUACUCGGGAAGCUGAGGCAGAAGAAUGGCUUGAACCUGGGAGGCGGAGGUUGCAGUGAACCAAGAUCAUGCCACUGCACUCCAACCUGGCAAGAGAGCAAGACUCUGUCUCAAGAAAAAAAUAAUAAUAAUAAUAAAAUAAAUUAAUUAAAUAAAAUAGUCUCCUUUGGCCUGGUGUGUGGUUCAUGCUUGUAAUCCUAGCACUUUGGGAGGCUGAGGCGGGAGGAUCACUUGAGGCGAGGAGUUCAAGACCUUGAGGCGAGGAGUUCAAGACCAGCCUAGGCAACUAGUGAGAUCCUGCCUCUACAAGAAAUUUUUAAAAAAUUAGACGGGUGUGGUGGCUUGUGCCUGCAGUCCCAGAUAUUGGAGGGACUGAAGUGGGAAGAUUAUUUGAGCCCAGGAGUUCAAGGCUGCAGUGAGCUCUGAUCACACCACUGCAUUCCAGCCUGGGCAACAAAGAGAGAUUCUGUAUCUUAAAAAAACAAAACAAAACAAAAAAAAAAACAAAAACCUCUCUCUUUUUUUUUAAUGAAAAUAUACCAUACUAAAUACAAUUUUUUUUUUCAGAUGGAGUAUCACUCUGUUGCCCAGGCUGGAGUGCAGUGGUACAGUCUCAGCUCACUGCAACCUCCUCCUCCUGGGUUCAAGCGAUACCCCCACCUUAGCCUCCCCAGUAGCUGGAAUCAUAAGUGUGCACCAUCACGCCCAGCUAAUUUUUUUUUUUUUUUUUUGAGAUGGAGUUUUGGUCUUGUUGCCCAGGCUGGAGUGCAGUGGUGCAAUCUUAGAUCACUGCAACCUCUGCCUCCCGGAUUCAAGUGAUUCUCCUGCCUCAGCCUCCCGAGUAGCUGGAAUUACAGACGCCUAUCACCACGCCUGGCUAAUUUUUGUAUUUUUAGUUGAGACAGGGUUUCACCAUGUUGGCCAGGCUGGUCUCGAACUUCUGACCUCAGGUGAUCCACCCACUUCGGCCUCCCCAAGUGCUGGGAUUAGAGGUGUGAGCCACUGCUGGCUAAUUUUUGUAUCUUCAGUAGAGACGGGGCUUCACCAUAUUGGCCAGGCUGGUCUUGAACUCCUGACCUCAAGCGAUCCACCUGCCUUGGCCUCCUAAAGUGCUAGUAUUACAGGCAUGAGCCACCGUGCUCAGCGAAACAUACAUUCUUUCACCUCCUUUUUUUUUUCCACUUAAUAUACCUAGGAAAUGUUUCAUAGUCAUUGUAAUGAAUUUAAAAUGGCUGCAAAAAUCUUUAUCAUUCUCCCCAAAGAGUUUAUUUCCCCUCCCUUUGAAUCUGUGUGGCCCAGUGUCUGCUUACCCAAUAGAAUGCAGCAAAAGUAACCUUGUGGUAGUUCCAGACUUUAGAAGGACUGACAGCUUCUGUUUCCAACCUCUUGGAAUACUUGCUCUUGAAAUGGGUGUUCUGGGGGAAUGCAGCCCCCUGUGUCAGAGGUCCAAGUGUCAUGAAGGCAUCAUAGUGUGAGGAAGCCCAAGUGAGUCCUGUAGAGAGGCUGCAUGGAGAGUGACAGAGAUUGUUUCCUGGCUAGUUUGUAGCUAUUCCAUCUACUAAGACACAAGACAACAUGAAUGAAGAAGCCACCUCGGACGUGCGUUCUAGUUGAGCUUUGGAUGACUCUUUUUCCAACCACCAUCAUGUUGCAGUUAUGUGAAAGACUCUAAGAGAUAAUUGGCCAGGUACAGUGGCUCAUGCCUGUAAUCCCAG